rnacentral:rRNA from 1 species
CGGACGGGUGAGUAACACGUAGCUACUCUACCCCACAGAGGGGGAUAACACACCGAAAGGUGUGCUAAUACCGCAUAUACCCGAGAGGGGAAAGGACUUAUGUCCGCUGUGGGAUAGGGCUGCGGCGUAUCAGCUAGUUGGUGGGGUAACGGCCUACCAAGGCGAUGACGCGUAGCUGGUCUGAGAGGAUGAUCAGCCACACUGGAACUGAGACACGGUCCAGACUCCUACGGGAGGCAGCAGUGGGGAAUAUUGGGCAAUGGGGGAAACCCUGACCCAGCAAUGCCGCGUGGAGGAAGAAGCACUUCGGUGUGUAAACUCCUUUUAUCAGGGAAGAAGCUGACGGUACCUGAUGAAUAAGCUCCGGCUAACUCCGUGCCAGCAGCCGCGGUAAUACGGGGGGAGCGAGCGUUACUCGGAAUCACUGGGCGUAAAGGGUGCGUAGGCGGAUUAGUAAGUUGGGAGUGAAAUCCUAUGGCUCAACCAUAGAACUGCUUCCAAAACUGCUAAGCUAGAGUCCGGGAGGGGCCAAGGGAAUUCCUGGUG